rnacentral:rRNA from 1 species
GACGAACGCUGGCGGCGUGCUUAACACAUGCAAGUCGAACGGAAAGGCCCUGCUUGCAGGGUACUCGAGUGGCGAACGGGUGAGUAACACGUGGGUGAUCUGCCCUGCACUUCGGGAUAAGCUUGGUAAACUGGGUCUAAUACCGGAUAGGAGCCAUCUUUAGUGUGGUGGUUGGAAAGUUUUUUCGGUGUAGGAUGAGCUCGCGGCCUAUCAGCUUGUUGGUGGGGUAAUGGCCUACCAAGGCGGCGACGGGUAGCCGGCCUGAGAGGGUGUACGGCCACAUUGGGACUGAGAUACGGCCCAGACUCCUACGGGAGGCAGCAGGGGGGAAUAUUGCACAAUGGGCGCAAGCCUGAUGCAGCGACGCCGCGUGGGGGAUGAAGGCCUUAGGGUUGUAAACUCCUUUCGCUAGGGACGAAGCGUUGUUGUGACGGUACCUAGAUAAGAAGCACCGGCUAACUACGUG